UUGAGCAGUUUCAAUAAUUUUAGUAUAUUACAAAAUCUGGAUGCUUUUUGAAAUUUUAAAAUUCAGUAACAGAAAGUUGACUUAAAAUUUUAAUGUUAUAAAUAAUUGGUGAAAAUAUAUAAGAAUCAGACUACCUAUGCCUUAACUUACCAUCCAAUCAUAUCCCAAGAUGUUUAUUCGUUGACCCAUUAAUCAACCAGCCUAGCCAAUCAAUUUUACCACCUCUAUAAAAGAUUAACUGACGUCACAGAAUGAAAUUGCAAAUACGGUUACUUAGUCAAACAUUAUAACUUAAUUUAUACCAUUCAAUUAGUGAUGUUGAUUCCGAUCCUACAAGUGAUAUAUGAAGAAGAAAGCUCAAACCUGAAUAAACCCUACCAUAUAACGCAAAUAUAAUAAGUUUAAUAUGGUGGCUCUAAGUUUAAGUUUUAUGUUUAACAAAUAAAUAAGGUUGCUAUGUGUCAAUGGUAAUUGAGAUCUGAAAUAUAUUCUCGAAGACAAUAGAUUUUUACUUCUAUUAUUAAGCUAUUCAUGAUAGUGUGAUCACAACAAAAAUGUAGAUAAACAAUUCAUGAAAAUCAUAAAAAAAACAAAUAUAAUUGAUGUUGGUAAAUUACCAUUGCUGACGGAGAAUUGCUGCUCAUGUCGGCAACCAAAAAUAUUUCGAUAAAUAAGAGACUUUGGGACCAGU
rnacentral:lncRNA from 1 species